rnacentral:rRNA from 1 species
CCUACGGGAGGCAGCAGUGAGGAAUAUUGGUCAAUGGACGAGAGCCUGAACCAGCCAAGUAGCGUGAAGGAUGAAUGCCCUAUGGGUUGUAAACUUCUUUUAUAUGGGAAUAAAAUGUUGCACGUGUGGGAUUUUGUAUGUACCAUAUGAAUAAGGAUCGGCUAACUCCGUGCCAGCAGCCGCGGUAAUACGGAGGAUCCGAGCGUUAUCCGGAUUUAUUGGGUUUAAAGGGAGCGUAGGUGGAUUGUUAAGUCAGUUGUGAAAGUUUGCGGCUCAACCGUAGAAUUGCCGUUGAAACUGGCAGUCUUGAGUACAGUAGAGGUAGGCGGAAUGCGUGGUGUAGCGGUGAAAUGCUUAGAUAUCACGAAGAACUCCGAUUGCGAAGGCAGCUCACUGGGCUGCAACUGACACUGAGGCUCGAAAGUGUGGGUAUCAAACAGGAUUAGAUACCCGGGUAGUC